rnacentral:rRNA from 1 species
GACAGAGGAUGCAAGCGUUAUCCGGAAUGAUUGGGCGUAAAGCGUCUGUAGGUGGCUUUUCAAGUCCGCCGUCAAAUCCCAGGGCUCAACCCUUGAAAGCCGGCCGAUACUGUCGGACUAGAGUCCGGAAGAGGCGAGUGGAAUUCCCGGUGUAGCGGUGAAAUGCGCAGAUAUCGGGAAGAACACCCGUGGCGAAGGCGGUUCUCUGGGACGGUACUGACGCUGAGACGCGAAAGCGUGGGGAGCGAACAGG